CCCGAAGUAUCCUGAAUCUUUCGCAUUGUUAAUCAUACAAAUGCAUAUAAUAAACAUAAAAAUCAAUGAUAAUUAUGCCAUUAUAUAAUUUCGAAAAAUUAACGCACUGUAUUAAUUUUAAUUUAUCAACACUUUAUCAAAUUAAUGACAUUUAUUCUAUGUUAAAAUGCAAGCAUAAUAAUUUGAAUAAACUAUAAGCCAUAUUUUAUGAUAAAUUUGGUAUAUGCUAAUAGAUUACAAUGUCCUUAUAUGGAAAAAAUGCACACUAUUAUUAUAAUAUUGUUAAAAUAUUACAACUUUAAUGAUGAAUUUUCCAUAACGGAUAUUCAGGUUCAUCGGGC
rnacentral:rRNA from 1 species